AAGGCAAGGUAGAUCAAUCAGCCUUUGGAAAUCCAAGGCUGUUUCAUCUUGCUGACUGCAAGGAAUUCACUGGAAGAGGGUAGGUGCAGGCACUCAGACCAAUCCCACCUGGGCUCUGACCUUCCAGCUAGCUCAGCAGUGCUUCCUAGCAUCUGUGCCUCUUUCCUGGCAGCCAAUGACCUCAGCUCUGACUUUAGCAACUGCCCUCUUUACCUCUGCCUGAUAAAAGUGCCCCAUACAAUACUCCUACUAUGAUAACAUAAAUAGAACCCUAUUCAUGAUGCCUCAACAGUAUAGACUACCACACGCAUAACAAGCCCGUUCCUUGUCUUCUAUGCUUACUUCCUGAAGAAUCCCAAAGAACAUACGAUUCCUCCAUUUAGUGCAGCUGAAAAACCGACCAAAUGCUCAGAAGUGAUAACUGCAACAAUAACAUCAUUCCUCAGACACUCUGGAGCCUAUUAGAGUGAACUUUGUUUGUAUAGGAAACUAGGGUAAUGCAGCACUGCAAAACAAUCUUCACUCUCUUCUGCUCCAACCACGAAGCUGCGAGCUUCUACCUGCCAUCUCCAUACAUGGAAGGGAAGAGAAGCACACACAGUUCAAAAUAUGCAGAAAACCUCCACCCAUCAAGGCAGACCUCCAAAGUCUGUGUGCAGUAAGACAACGAACGGGGUUUACUUAUCUCCACGGAGCUUGGAAAAGGGUGAAGAUCAGUGGGCCAUAUUCUACAGCCCUUAUUCAGUUGCCUCUCUGUGUUUUACUGCCUAAGUCUGGGAGACAUCAGUGAGGAAGCUUCUUUCAGCCAGAAAAGAUGAAUAAAGACUUCAAAAAAUA